rnacentral:rRNA from 1 species
UGGAUGAUGUGGUUUAAUUCGAUGCAACGCGAAAACCUUACCCACCUUUGACAUGUAUGGAAGUUUCCAGAGAUGGAUUCGUGCUCGAAAGAGAGCCAUAACACAGGUGCUGCAUGGCUGUCGUCAGCUCGUGUCGUGAGAUGUUGGGUUAAGUCCCGCAACGAGCGCAACCCUUGUCAUUAGUUGCUACAUUUGGUUGGGCACUCUAAUGAGACUGCCGGUGACAAACCGGAGGAAGGUGGGGAUGACGUCAAGUCCUCAUGGCCCUUAUAGGUGGGGCUACACACGUCAUACAAUGGCCGGUACAAAGGGUCGCAAACCCGCGAGGGGGAGCCAAUCCAUCAAAGCCGGUCGUAGUCCGGAUCGCAGUCUGCAACUCGACUGCGUGGAGUCGGAAUCGCUAGUAAUCGUGGAUCAGCAUGUCACGGUGAAUACGUUCCCGGGUCUUGU